rnacentral:rRNA from 1 species
UCCGUAGGUGAACCUGCGGAAGGAUCAUUAGUGAAUAUCAGGGCGCUCUUUUCUGCGGAAGCGAUCAGAGGCCUGACCUCCACUUAUCCUUAACACUGUGCACUUUUUUAAACCCAAGCGAGUUUGUCAUUCUCGAAGUUCACGCUUCGAGUCUUACUCGCUUUCACCUUAACACUAGUCAAAGAAUGUAAACAAAACAUAACAAAAAAAAACUUUCAACAACGGAUCUCUUGGCUCUCGCAUCGAUGAAGAACGCAGCGAAAUGUGAUAAGUAAUGUGAAUUGCAGAAUUCAGUGAAUCAUCGAAUCUUUGAACGCACCUUGCGCUCUCUGGUAUUCCGGAGAGCAUGCCUGUUUGAGUGUCAUGAACUCUUCAACCCACCGGUUCCUUGUUGAACCGUGUUGGCGCUUGGUUUCUGAACGUUGCUGGUUCCUCGUGAACGCUAGCUCGUUUAAAAUUCAUUAGCAUCUCAAUUUCGAAACGUGGAUUGACUCAGCGUAAUAGACUAUUCGCUGAGGACACUGCUUGCGGUGGCCAUGUUAGAUAACGAUUGAUGCUUAUAGCACUCUAUCUAGUCAUUCUUUCUAAGAUUAGACCUCAGAUCAGGCAGGAUUACCCGCUGAACUUAAGCAUAUCAAUAAGCGGAGGAAAAG